rnacentral:rRNA from 1 species
AGCAGCCGCGGUAAUUCCAGCUCCAAUAGCGUAUAUUAAAGUUGUUGCAGUUAAAAAGCUCGUAGUUGAAUUUCGGGAUUGGCGCAUCGGUCGUGCCUUACGGGGUAUGAACUGGUGCAGUCAAUUUCUCACCUUCUGGAGAACCGCGAUGUCCUUAAUUGGGUGCCGCGGGGAACCAGGACCUUUACUUUGAAAAAAUUAGAGUGUUUAAAGCAGGCAUUUUUGCUUGAAUACAUUAGCAUGGAAUAAUAAAAUAGGGCGGCAUGGUUCUAUUUUGUUGGUUUCUAGGACCACCGUAAUGAUUAAUAGGGAUAGUUGGGGGCAUUAGUAUUCAAUUGUCAGAGGUGAAAUUCUUGGAUUUAUUGAAGACUAACUACUGCGAAAGCAUUUGCCAAGGAUGUUUUCAUUAAUCAAGAACGAAAGUUAGGGGAUCGAAGACGAUCAGAUACCGUCGUAGUCUUAACCAUAAACUAUGCCGACUAGGAAUCAGACGAUGUUAAUUUUUUAAUGACUCGUUUGG